rnacentral:rRNA from 1 species
AGCGAACGCUGGCGGCAGGCUUAACACAUGCAAGUCGAGCGGGCGUAGCAAUACGUCAGCGGCAGACGGGUGAGUAACGCGUGGGAACGUACCUUUUGGUUCGGAACAACACAGGGAAACUUGUGCUAAUACCGGAUAAGCCCUUACGGGGAAAGAUUUAUCGCCGAAAGAUCGGCCCGCGUCUGAUUAGCUAGUUGGUGAGGUAAUGGCUCACCAAGGCGACGAUCAGUAGCUGGUCGAGAGGAUGAUCAGCCACAUUGGGACUGAGACACGGGCCCAAACUCCUACGGGAGGGCAGCAGUGGGGAAUAUUGGACAAUGGGCGCAAGCCUGAUCCAGCCAUGCCGCGUGAGUGAUGAAGG